UAACACUUUUCAUCUCCUGAUGAGAAGUUGAAAGGCGGCUUUUGCUGUCACUUACAGAUGGGCCUGCGGCGCAUUAGCUAGUUGGUAAGGUAAUGGCUUACCAAGGCGACGAUGCGUAGCCGACCUGAGAGGGUGAUCGGCCACACUGGGACUGAGACACGGCCCAGACUCCUACGGGAGGCAGCAGUAGGGAAUCUUCCGCAAUGGACGAAAGUCUGACGGAGCAACGCCGCGUGAGUGAUGAAGGUUUUCGGAUCGUAAAACUCUGUUGUUAGGGAAGAACAAGUGCCAUAGUAACUGAUGGCACCUUGACGGUACCUAACCAGAAAGCCACGGCUAACUACGUGCCAGCAGCCGCGGUAAUACGUAGGUGGCAAGCGUUGUCCGGAAUUAUUGGGCGUAAAGCGCUCGCAGGCGGUUCUUUAAGUCUGAUGUGAAAUCUUACGGCUCAACCGUAAACGUGCAUUGGAAACUGGGGAACUUGAGUGCAGAAGAGGAGAGUGGAAUUCCACGUGUAGCGGUGAAAUGCGUAGAGAUGUGGAGGAACACCAGUGGCGAAGGCGACUCUCUGGUCUGUAACUGACGCUGAGGAGCGAAAGCGUGGGGAGCGAACAGGAUUAGAUACCCUGGUAGUCCACGCCGUAAACGAUGAGUGCUAGGUGUUAGGGGGUUUCCGCCCCUUAGUGCUGAAGUUAACGCAUUAAGCACUCCGCCUGGGGAGUACGGCCGCAAGGCUGAAACUCAAAAGAAUUGACGGGGGCCCGCACAAGCGGUGGAGCAUGUGGUUUAAUUCGAAGCAACGCGAAGAACCUUACCAGGUCUUGACAUCCUCUGAACACUCUAGAGAUAGAGUUUUCCCUUCGGGGACAGAGUGACAGGUGGUGCAUGGUUGUCGUCAGCUCGUGUCGUGAGAUGUUGGGUUAAGUCCCGCAACGAGCGCAACCCUUGAUCUUAGUUGCCAGCAUUCAGUUGGGCACUCUAAGGUGACUGCCGGUGACAAACCGGAGGAAGGUGGGGACGACGUCAAAUCAUCAUGCCCCUUAUGACCUGGGCUACACACGUGCUACAAUGGAUGGAACAAAGGGAAGCGAACCCGCGAGGUCAAGCAA
rnacentral:rRNA from 1 species